AGAGUUUGAUCCUGGCUCAGGACGAACGCUGGCGGCGUGCUUAACACAUGCAAGUCGAGCGGUAAGGCCCUUUCGGGGGUACAUGAGCGGCGAACGGGUGAGUAACACGUGAGUAAUCUGCCCUUCACUUCGGGAUAACCUCCGGAAACGGUGGCUAAUACCGGAUAUGACCUGUCCCUGCAUGGGGGUGGGUGGAAAGUUCUGGCGGUGGAGGAUGUGCUCGCGGCCUAUCAGCUUGAUGGUGGGGUAAUGGCCUACCAUGGCUUCGACGGGUAGCCGGCCUGAGAGGGUGACCGGCCACACUGGGACUGAGACACGGCCCAGACUCCUACGGGAGGCAGCAGUGGGGAAUAUUGGACAAUGGGCGAAAGCCUGAUCCAGCAACGCCGCGUGAGGGAUGACGGCCUUCGGGUUGUAAACCUCUUUCAGUAUCGACGAAGCUGUGCCUUUUUGGGUGUGGUGACGGUAGGUACAGAAGAAGCACCGGCCAACUACGUGCCAGCAGCCGCGGUAAUACGUAGGGUGCGAGCGUUGUCCGGAAUUAUUGGGCGUAAAGGGCUCGUAAGCGGUUUGUCGCGUCGGGAGUGAAAACACUGGGCUUAACUCAGUGCUUGCUUCCGAUACGGGCAGACUAGAGGUAUGCAGGGGAGAACGGAAUUCCUGGUGUAGCGGUGAAAUGCGCAGAUAUCAGGAGGAACACCGGUGGCGAAGGCGGUUCUCUGGGCAUUACCUGACGCUGAGGAGCGAAAGUGUGGGGAGCGAACAGGAUUAGAUACCCUAGUAGUCC
rnacentral:rRNA from 1 species